rnacentral:tRNA from 1 species
GUCCAGGGGCGGGAAUCGAACCCACAACCUUCUGCUUACCGGGCAGGUGCCAUGUCCACUAGGCAACCCUGGA